AGUGAACGCUGGCGGUAGGCCUAACACAUGCAAGUCGAACGGCAGCACAGUAAGAGCUUGCUCUUACGGGUGGCGAGUGGCGGACGGGUGAGGAAUACAUCGGAAUCUACUUUUUCGUGGGGGAUAACGUAGGGAAACUUACGCUAAUACCGCAUACGGCCUACGGGUGAAAGCAGGGGAUCUUCGGACCUUGCGCGAUUGAAUGAGCCGAUGUCGGAUUAGCUAGUUGGCGGGGUAAAGGCCCACCAAGGCGACGAUCCGUAGCUGGUCUGAGAGGAUGAUCAGCCACACUGGAACUGAGACACGGUCCAGACUCCUAAGGGAGGCCGCAGUGGGGAAUAUUUGACAAUGGGCGCAAGCCUGAUCCAGCCAUACCGCGUGGGUGAAGAAGGCCUUCGGGUUGUAAAGCCCUUUUGUUGGGAAAGAAAAGCAGCAGGUUAAUACCCCGCUGUUCUGACGGUACCCAAAGAAUAAGCACCGGCUAACUUCGUG
rnacentral:rRNA from 1 species